rnacentral:lncRNA from 10 species
UUUCAGGAGGAAGUCCCAUGAAGAAAUAAAGAACAUGUGGUGAAUCACAGAGAAGUGGCUGAAAAGAUUCAAGCCUCAACCUUGGUCCUCCCUAGUCACAUGACCACAGGCAAACCUCUUCUCUCUCAGCCUCAGUUUUUGCAUCAGUGCAAUAGGAAUGGUAUCUGCCAUGCUAACCUCACAGGACUGCUGUGUGUUCAGAUGAAUCAGAUGCUGACGAUACGACAGUGAAUACAACAUGAAAAAACAAGCACACUUCUCACCCCUAUGGAGCUUUAUUCUGGUCAGGCAGAAGGAGAAGGAAAUGUAAACAUGCAAGGUCAGGUACUGCUGUGAAGCAAAAUAAAGCUGUG